CUAUUAGCAGCGUGAUACCCUGGGACAUAGUUAGCAAUGCAGCAACCAUAGAUGCAAAUUCGGCACUUCCCAUUGAAGUUUCCAACUGGAUACCCUUCCACAAGAGAGACAUCAUGUUGUAGACUAGGUGAGACUCCCCCACAUGGUAGAAUGCUGACAGGAAGAAGCGUUUCAACUCCUUAUGCUUAAGAAUGAGGUAGGGAUUGAACCAGACCUCACGAAUAGGAGGAAGGAUAUGAUGCAAGAAAGAAGGCCUCAAAUAGAUGAGAGUGUUGGCGGCUAGAAGACCUGCCGUUACAGGGGUGGUUUCCACGGCAGUCUACAGUACUCGACCACUGUGUGAACUGCAAGCAGCGGUAACAACCUCCCUACUCUUCUCUCCAUCGCCGAUAAUUGCCAAUCUCUUCCUCGAUUCAGUUGAUUCUAUGGAUCAAUUAUCUUUGGGCCUCGCAUCAGACUUUUUAAAUUUUCAACUUGGCAUCGCAUGGAAUGCAAUCGGUUACUUGCAGGGAAAGAAUUCUAGAAUUCUCCUUUCCUAAAUAGUUGCCUCACACGGCUCUCGCAGUCAUCUUCACUUUCACUGCCGA
rnacentral:misc_RNA from 1 species